rnacentral:tRNA from 1 species
GGGCGCGUAGGGCGCACGGUUCACAUCCGUGAGGUCGCGGGUUCGAGUCCCUCCGCGCCCAUCA